AGCGAACGCUGGCGGCAGGCUUAACACAUGCAAGUCGAGCCGGCCCUUCGGGGUCAGCGGCGGACGGGUGAGUAACGCGUGGGAACGUGCCUUCUGGUUCGGAAUAACCCUGGGACACUAGGGCUAAUACCGGAUACGCCCGUACGGGGCAAGGUUUACUGCCGGAGGAUCGGCCCGCGUCUGAUUAGCUAGUGGGUGGGGUAAUGGCCUACCAAGGCGACGAUCAGUAGCUGGUCUGAGAGGAUGAUCAGCAACACUGGGACUGAGACACGGCCCGGACUACUACGGGAGGCAGCAGUGGGGAAUAUUGGACAAUGGGCGCAAGCCUGAUCCAGCCAUGCCGCGUGAGUGAUGAAGGCCUUAGGGUUGUAAAGCUCUUUUAUCCGGGACGAUAAUGACGGUACCGGAGGAAUAAGCCCCGGCUAACUUCGUGCCAGCCGCCGCCGUAA
rnacentral:rRNA from 1 species